CAGCCGCCACGGUAACACGUAGGGUGCAAGCGUUAAUCGGAAUUACUGGGCGUAAAGCGUGCGCAGGCGGUUAUAUAAGACAGAUGUGAAAUCCCCGGGCUCAACCUGGGAACUGCAUUUGUGACUGUAUAGCUAGAGUACGGCAGAGGGGGAUGGAAUUCCGCGUGUAGCAGUGAAAUGCGUAGAUAUGCGGAGGAACACCGAUGGCGAAGGCAAUCCCCUGGGCCUGUACUGACGCUCAUGCACGAAAGCGUGGGGAGCAAACAGGAUUAGAUACCCCCGUAGUCCCUGUCUCUUAUAC
rnacentral:rRNA from 1 species